rnacentral:lncRNA from 1 species
CAGAGCUAUGCCUGCUGAGCUAACAGAAAAGCAGGGGGUGGGGGCGCAGAGCUAUUAGCUCGUCUGAAGAGUGUCCCUCGAUCAAAUAAAUGAACUGCACUGUUUACUGUGUAAACUUGGACUGAAGCAGCCGCACUGAGCGGGGUUCAUAACAAGGGCUGUUAAUAUUUAUGGCUGACACUGGUGGCUCCUACUGACACAAUAAUGAGCCCAUCACCCCCUGAGCUGGAUUCGCUACCACCUUCCAGCAGAUGCAGAGGGCAGGAGGGAGGACUGGGGUCGUCGGAUGGGUGAUAUAUGCCUAGCAGUACCCAAAGCCUUCCUGAUCUGGAUCUCAGAGUCUAUGCAAGAUGUAGAAGUGACUGCUGAGCACCCGCUGUGCACAGAUCAUUAAGCCAGUGCUGAAGAGGCAGUGCCUCUGAUUAUGAGCGCACCCUCAAGUUCGCCCAAAGUGCAGUGUGGAGGGAGGAUUCCUGAAUUUGGAGGCCUCAGUGGGAACAGAUAGACCCAAGAGGAAACAAACUAGGAGUCCAGUCAAGCCACUGGAGGCCCAGAGGAUGUUGCAAGGACAGCAGACAUGUGGUUUAGAGGAACAGGGGGCAGACAGGCAGCAGAGUCCAGCAAUAGCUGAGACAAUGGUACAAGGGAGGCUGCCUAAUUUAUAGCACCCCACGGUCCCCAAGUGCUGAUUGUGGCCCAAGAGGAGUCAGAGACCAGCAGGUGAGUUCUAUUCUUGAUUGCUGCAGGUUCACAGGUGCUGUGGUUGCUUCUCAGCAGGGCGGUGGGUGGGGUGGCCAAAGUAAAAGCAAUGCAAAUGGUGUGGGCAGCUAAGCAGCAUUUCCAAGAGCAGAGAGGACCCGAUUCUCCUGCAGACCUGGGUCUGCAGAUGCUGCUCUUUCCCCAUCAUUCUUUCAUUAAAGUGGAGCCAGGAACUUUGCGGAGGUGGGGCAUAGUAGCGGUUGGGUAGAGAUGCUUAUAGCGAAGCUAGAAGGUCUCUCCUGAGUUCUUCAAAUUAGAGUCAGAUCCCUCAGGGCUCAGGCAGACGUAAAGUUUGGAAGGAGGGGAGGCUGUUUGAUGGAUGGAAAGAAUAA